GACGUAGGGCGCGAGCGUUGUCCGGAUUUAUUGGGCGUAAAGAGCUCGUAGGCGGUUUGUCGCGUCGUUCGUGAAAACUCACAGCUUAACUGUGAGCUUGCGGUCGAUACGGGCAGGCUAGAGUUCGGUAGGGGAGACUGGAAUUCCUGGUGUAGCGGUGAAAUGCGCAGAUAUCAGGAGGAACACCGGUGGCGAAGGCGGGUCUCUGGGCCGAUACUGACGCUGAGGGGCGAAAGCGUGGGGAGCGAACAGG
rnacentral:rRNA from 1 species